GACGUAGGGGGCGAGCGUUGUCCGGAUUUAUUGGGCGUAAAGCGUGCGUAGGCGGCUGCGCAAGUCGGGUGUGAAACCCCGGGGCUCAACCCCGGAACUGCAUCCGAUACUGCGUGGCUAGAGGUAGGUAGGGGAGAUCGGAAUUCCUGGUGUAGCGGUGAAAUGCGCAGAUAUCAGGAGGAACACCGGUGGCGAAGGCGGCCUUCUGGACAGUGACUGACGCUGAGACGCGAAAGCGUGGGGAGCAAACAGG
rnacentral:rRNA from 1 species